CAAGUUAAAUAUAGUAUUAUUUUUUAUUUACAUUAAAAAAUUACUUGUGCGAUUCAAGUUGACUUGA
rnacentral:tRNA from 1 species